GCAUCACUGUGUGCGGGUCACGCGCGCGCCUACUUACUUUCCUACUGUCGCGCCCUGACACGGGACUUUUCUUGAGCAGUGCGGCCUGGCACACCAGCUGCCUGCUGUGUACUUUUCCUUUAGGUGGGAUAUGAGCGGAAAGUCCAGGUGGUCGCGGGCAGGGAUCACUUCAUCCGAACCCUCAGCCUCAAGCCAUUGCUCUUCGAAAUCCCAGGCUUCCUGAGUGACGAGGAGUGCCGCCUUAUCAUCCACCUGGCACAGAUGAAAGGGUUACAGCGAAGCCAGAUCCUGCCUACUGAGGAGUAUGAGGAGGCCAUGAGCGCCAUGCGAGUCAGCCAGCUGGACCUCUUCCAGCUGUUGGAUCAGAACCACGACGGUCGCC
rnacentral:lncRNA from 1 species